GACGAACGCUGGCGGCGUGCCUAAUACAUGCAAGUCGAACGCAUUUUCUUUCACCGUAGCUUGCUACACCGAAAGAAGAUGAGUGGCGAACGGGUGAGUAACACGUGGGUAACCUGCCCAUCAGCGGGGGAUAACACUUGGAAACAGGUGCUAAUACCGCAUAAUUCCAUUUACCGCAUGGUAGAUGGGUGAAAGGCGCUUUUGCGUCACUGAUGGAUGGACCCGCGGUGCAUUAGCUAGUUGGUGGGGUAACGGCCUACCAAGGCUGCGAUGCAUAGCCGACCUGAGAGGGUGAUCGGCCACACUGGGACUGAGACACGGCCCAGACUCCUACGGGAGGCAGCAGUAGGGAAUCUUCGGCAAUGGACGCAAGUCUGACCGAGCAACGCCGCGUGAGUGAAGAAGGUUUUCGGAUCGUAAAACUCUGUUGUUAGAGAAGAACAAGGAUGAGAGUGGAAAGUUCAUCCCUUGACGGUAUCUAACCAGAAAGCCACGGCUAACUACGUG
rnacentral:rRNA from 1 species